UACGUAGGUGGCAAGCGUUGUCCGGAUUUACUGGGCGUAAAGAGCGCGCAGGCGGUCGUUCAAGUCGCGUGUGAAAGCCCCCGGCUCAACUGGGGAGGGUCACGCGAUACUGAUCGACUCGGAGGCAGGAGAGGGAAGUGGAAUUCCCGGUGUAGUGGUGAAAUGCGUAGAUAUCGGGAGGAACACCAGUGGCGAAGGCGACUUCCUGGCCUGUUCUUGACGCUGAGGCGCGAAAGCUAGGGGAGCAAACGGG
rnacentral:rRNA from 1 species